GCAAACGUGUCCACAACGGGUCCCUCCCCGAGAGGCCACAUCUCGCCUAAGGUGGAGCCAGCAGGUAUUUGCCUGUGGAAAACUGCAGUGGAUCCUGCCCCGUCUGCGUAGACUGCGCAGCUCGGAGUCAAAGAUUCGUUCUGGCCAGAGAGGAGAAAACGACCUUCAGGAAUCAGCCUGAGUGUUCGCGCCCGAGCCCGAUUGGAAGCAGGUGCGUGGUCGCUUCACUCUCCCCGUGCACACCUUGAGUUAUAGCUCUCGCUGCGCACAGAGGGCACCACACGGGGCCCGACACACACACACACACACACACACACACACACACACACACACACACCAUCACUUCAUGGGGGGGAAACUGAGGCUGCCGGAAGACAGAAAACGAAGACUGAUCACAGAAGAGGGGGCUUCAAUCACAGGUGCUCGCAGACACCCCAACUCCCUCACGCGUUACUCAGCACUCCUUAACUUAGGAGACGUGCGCUUCCGAGAGAUGAGAAGAAACUAAAAAAGUGGUUGGCAGGGCGAAGAGAGGAAGCCGGUAUUUCGGAAGAAGGAGACUUUCGUCUCCGGUACCGGAUAGGGCGAAAAUUCGUUGGGUCGCGGGUGGAGAAUCCGGGGUCCGCCCGCGCGGUGCCGCCCUGUGCUCAGCGAAAGGUGCGCUCACCUUCCUGGCCCCGAGGAUCCGCUCCUCCCGGCCGCUGGAAAGCUCAGGGCGGGGCCCGGGCCUGCGGAGAACUCCAGGUUCCUUCCGAGUCUUCCGGUGAAGGCGGGCGCGGGUAGGGGGUCCCCGCGUUUCCCCAGCGCAAGGCCGCGUCCCGCUCCCGCCCGCGCCGGCCCCAGCAGGGCUCGGCCAUGGCUCCACUCACCAGCUCCCGCCACCUGGGAUCCGCUCCCGGACCUCGGCCGCCCGAGCCUCCCGACUCGCCCGCCCACCGGCCUCGCUUUCCAGUGCCUGCUGUCUCUUUCCGGGGCGCAGGGACCCCCAGGCGGCGCCACGACCCGGAGCUGGGUCGGAGGCCAGGCUGGGGCUCGGGCCAGAGCGGCCGGGCCUCUGGGCGCGGGAGAAGGAGGGCGCCCCCUCUCCGCUCGGGGUCGUGUCAAUGCUUUGCACUUGGGGCCGGCGUGCGGCUGCGGGUCCUUCCCCAAGGCCCCGGGACCCGGGCUCCCCUCGCCUCAGGCCCUUUCGGCGGGUCAGGUCGGCCCUCCGCGCUCUCCAGUCCGGCGCAGGCAGCCGCAGGCGCGGGCGGGCGGUGGGGGCCGGGGCAGGAGGAGGGGUCUCGGGGCCCGGCGGCCCGUCAUUGGUUAAUAUUUUAUUCUGUUGACAUGUUUUCUUACUGCUGAGGCUUCCGACACCUUCUCCCAGGCCCCCCCUCCCGGCCGGAGCUUGGCCUGAGCUGUCAAAACCCCGCCCCCGGAGACCCACAAUUGGUCC
rnacentral:lncRNA from 1 species